UCGAGAAUCAUUCACAAUGGGGGAAACCCUGAUGGUGCAACGCCGCGUGGAGGAUGACGGCCCUCGGGUUGUAAACUCCUGUCAUCUGGGAGUAAUCCUUGUUCGUUAAUAGCGUGCAAGGUUGAUAGUACCAGAAGAGGAAGGGACGGCUAACUUCGUGCCAGCAGCCGCGGUAAUACGAAGGUCCCAAGCGUUGUUCGGAAUCACUGGGCGUAAAGCGUGCGUAGGCGGCAUGGUAAGUCAGAUGUGAAAUCUUCGGGCUCAACGCGGACACUACAUCCGAUACUGCCAUGCUAGAGUAAUGGAGGGGUAGCUGGAAUUCUCGGUGUAGCAGUGAAAUGCGUAGAUAUCGAGAGGAACACUCGUGGCGAAGGCGAGCUACUGGACAUUUACUGACGUUGAGGCACGAAGGCCAGGGUAGCGAAAGGGAUUAGAUACCCGCGUAGUCC
rnacentral:rRNA from 1 species